rnacentral:sRNA from 1 species
GCCAGGCGCCAUGGCUCACACCUAUAAUCCCAGCACUUUGGGAGGCUGAGGCAGGAGGAUUGCUUGAGCCCAGGAGUUCAAGACCAGACUGGGAAACAUGGUAAAACCUUGUCUCUAAAAAAUAUACAAAAUUUAGCCAGGUGUGGUGGCAAUGCCUGUAGUCCCAGCUACUUGAAAGGCUGAGGUGGGAGGAUCACCUGAGCCUGGGAGGUUGAGGCUGUAGUGAGCUGUGAUCACACCACUGCACUCCAGCCUGGGCAAAGAGUGAGAACCUGUCUCA